rnacentral:rRNA from 1 species
ACGCUGGCGGCAGGCUUAACACAUGCAAGUCGAACGGUAACAGGAAUUAGCUUGCUAAUUUGCUGACGAGUGGCGGACGGGUGAGUAAUGCUUGGGAAUCUGGCUUAUGGAGGGGGAUAACUACGGGAAACUGUAGCUAAUACCGCGUAAAAUCUUCGGAUUAAAGGGUGGGACUUUCGAGCCACCUGCCAUAAGAUGAGCCCAAGUGGGAUUAGGUAGUUGGUUAGGUAAAGGCUGACCAAGCCGACGAUCUCUAGCUGGUCUGAGAGGAUGACCAGCCACACUGGAACUGAGACACGGUCCAGACUCCUACGGGAGGCAGCAGUGGGGAAUAUUGCACAAUGGGGGGAACCCUGAUGCAGCCAUGCCGCGUGAAUGAAGAAGGCCUUCGGGUUGUAAAGUUCUUUCGGUGACGAGGAAGGUUGAUAGGUUAAUAGCCUAUCAAAUUGACGUUAAUCACAGAAGAAGCACCGGCUAACUCCGUGCCAGCAGCCGCGGUAAUACGGGGGGUGCGAGCGUUAAUCGGAAUAACUGGGCGUAAAGGGCACGCGGGCGGUGACUUAAGUGAGAUGUGAAAGCCCCGAGCUUAACUUGGGAAUUGCAUUUCAUACUGGGUCGCUAGAGUACUUUAGGGAGGGGUAGAAUUCCACGUGUAGCGGUGAAAUGCGUAGAGAUGUGGAGGAAUACCGAAGGCGAAGGCAGCCCCUUGGGAAUGUACUGACGCUCAUGUGCGAAAGCGUGGGGAGCAAACAGGAUUAGAUACCCUGGUAGUCCACGCUGUAAACGAUGUCGAUUUGGGGAUUGGGCUUUGAGCUUGGUGCCCGUAGCUAACGUGAUAAAUCGACCGCCUGGGGAGUACGGCCGCAAGGUUAAAACUCAAAUGAAUUGACGGGGGCCCGCACAAGCGGUGGAGCAUGU